AUGCAGAUCACUGAUAGCAUGGAACUGCCCCUUUCUGGGGAGGUAGGGUACACACAGAGGGCAGCCACCUCGAAAGAGAAGACAGUGCUCUCCAAGCCGCUUCAAUCCUCAACACAGCCAGCCUAUUGCCGGCCAGUCUUCAUCUGGAGCCCAAGACUCAGGUCUCAGGUCACACCUGCACCUGCCGUGGGCUUCAUCACAGACGCGUCUGCCCACCGUGGAGCCCUCCGGACUUCCUGGCAGCCACUCAUGCCGCUUUGCCCCAGGUUUCCAUGCAGCUGUGCCAUGCCUGGGUUCUGUACCUCACACCCUGGGUCUCUGAAGCCGACUCUCUCAGCGUCCUCUCCUCAAGCUCCUGCGCUAUCCUUCCCCUUCCCUGCGGGUGGGUGCUCCUCAAGCUUCCUGCCUGCCCAAGCCCCCCACUCCUCCUCUUGGGUGUGCUUCUGGGAGUGCAUCUGUGGCUCCCCAAGUGCGCUUCCAGUCCUGAGCCCUCCGGUGCACCCCACACCUACAUUUCCAAAUACCCGGGGAUCCAUGCAGCAAAGUCCUACCACCACACCACAGUCAUCCUGUCACACCCAAACUCCCUGCUCCAUCCAAUCUGCCUCUCUUCUAGCGACCAUCUUGCUUCCCUGGGUGGCACUCCUUGAUUCCCUGGCGAAUCUGUGUGAUCAGUCAGCUGGCCUGGACCACUGUUGCGGGAAACUGAGGACUAGAGAGACUGAUAGGGAGAACAGGAGGAUUGUUUAUUUAAGAUACUCACCAGCUUAGUGGAUUCAUAUCCAAAGAGCUGAGCAUUGAACAAAGACUGAGCAGGGUUUUUAUAAGCAAAUUUACAGAAGCAAACAAAAGCAGUUAAUCAUAUGGUAGGUCACAUAAUCUAUAGCAUAGCAUAACUUAACUUGUGGCCUUGCAUAGCUUGUAGCUUGUAACUGCAUUGAAAGAAAAAGAAGAACUGGCUAAAUACAGACAUUUGUAAAACAUAGUUAUGCCUAAGAAGCCAGGGAAAGGAGUAGCAGUAAUUUGUCUUUUUCCCUUUUUUUUUUCCCUUCAACUUUGCCCUGGAAGAAGGUGGUGGUGGGGGUGGUGUCUGGAGCCCAUUCCUUUGGCCUUGGUUUCUUAAACAGCAUUAUCCUAUAACUGUCUUUGAAGUGAGCUUGCUAGGCAGAAGAAAACUUGUCCUUUUCUUUUUAACCCUUGCCUUGCCUGUUACUUUUCUUGGAGUGAAUAAACGCAUAUUUAUUUUUAAAUUUCUGCCUCACCGUGACAUCACUGGCAUAGUUGCCAGGCUCCACCUCUUCCUGUGUGGUCCUGCUGCUGCAGCCUGGUGUGACACCUGCAUCCUCUUGACCCCUGGCUUUUGUCACCUAGCGAACCUCUGCUUCCAGGCUCUCCUCUCACAGUCCUUCUGCUCUCCUGCCAUCGGAGUCCUAGCUCUCACCUUUAAGCCUGACCUUUUCUCUCCUAAGCUAAAAUAUUAUGAUGGUUUGCCAGUUCAUGCACUAAGGAUUUAAACACAGAACAUGCGAUACUUAAGAUGUGCAAAAUAGUAGAAGUCUUGCUAUGGACACCUGCAUGCCCAGCAGCACCUCCACGACAUGAGGCUGGAGCCCUGUGUCCUCACAGCUGCUGCAGUGCCUAACUCCAGGGCCCUCAUUGCUGUCGAGUUAUGCCUAUCACUCUCCCCUGUUUUCUUCCUCCUUCAGGGACGUGAUCCACAGACAGAGAGAGCUGGGAGUUUAUCAUUACCAGCCAUUUCUUUAUCCUUUGCUGCCUCUUAUCUCUAAGCUACAUAUAGCACUGUUUUGCCUGCUUUAUAUAAGUGAUAUCAUGUUGUACAUAUCUUUAUGCAUCGAUCGAUUUCUUUCCUUUUCUCCUUUCUUUGUUUCUCUUUCUUUCUCCCUUUCUUUUCUUCUUCCUUCCUUUGUCGCCUGGCUGAGUGGUACCUAUCUCGGCUCACUGUAAUCUCUGCCUCCUGGAUUCAAGCAAUUCUUCUGACCUCAGGUGAUCUGCCUGCCUUGCCCUCCCAAAGUGCUAGGAUUACAGGCGUGAGACAUCACUCCAACCCUCAAUUUUUUUUUGAGACGGAGUCUUGCUCUGUCACCCAGGCUGGGGUGCAGUGGCCAGAUCUCAGCUCACUGCAAGCUCCGCCUCCCAGGUUUACGCCAUUCUCCUACCUCAGCCUCCCGAGUAGCUGGGACUACAGGCUCGCCAACCCGCCCCAGCUAGUUUUGCAUUUUUUAGUAGAGACGGGUUUCACCGAUAGCCAGGAUGGUCUCGAUCUCCUGACCUUGUGAUCCGCCCGUCUCGGCCUCCCAGAGUGCUGGGAUUACAGGCUUGAGCCACCGCGCCCGGCCUCAAUUUCUUUUUAAUAGAGAUAGGGUCUCACUCUGUUGCCCAGGCUGGAGUGCAGUGGUGCAGUCACCACUCACUGCAGCCUCCACCUCCCGGACUCAUGGGAUCCUCCCCCAUCAGAGUCCUGAGUAGCCAGGACUACAGGUGUGCCCCGCCAUGGCUGGCUAAUUCACUUUCAAUUUUGUUCAUUUUCACUGCUAUGUAGAAUUCCAUUGUAUACUAUAUAAUAAUCUUCUCAUCUAUUCUCCUGUAGAUAGAAUUUUUGUAAUUUCUAAUUUUUAAAAAAAUUAUAAAUAAUAUUACUUUAGUUCAUGUCACUGAAACUUUGGCCUGGGCAACAGAGCAAGACCCUGUCUCAAAAAAAAAAAUCACUUUAAACAUUCUUGUGCAUGUCUCUGUGUAUAUAAACGUCCUGGAAUGUAAGAGUGGACAUUCUAGGGUUUUAAAUCAUUUUCAACAUGAUUGAAAUAAUUUACUUUCUUGCCAGCAGUGCCUGAAAAUUCCUGCUGUGCAUCUUCAUCUUCAUUUGGUGUGAUUAGACUUCCCAAUAUUUACUAAACUCUGGGCUUUUCAGUUUUGGGAAUUUCUAAGGAGGUUAAACUUCUCUUCAUUUUUCUUUCCUUCUCACUGAUCUGCCUUCUUAUUUUUCUCUAUUUUAAAAAUCAGGUGUAUAUAUUUUAAUCUAGCUAUUGUAAUGAUAUAUUCGAGAUACUAGUAUUCUAUCAGAUAAAUGUGUUAUAAAUAUCUUUGCCAUUCUGUGGCUAAUUGAGCUUAUUUUGUCACUUAAUAGAUUCAAGUUUUGAGUGUAAUGUAAUUUUUUUUUUUUAUGGAGCCUGGCUCUGUGGCCCAGGUUGGAGUGGCAGUGGCACGAUAUUGGUUCACUGCAACCUCUGCCUCCCGGGUUCAAGCAAUUCUCCUGCCAACGCGCCCGGCUAAUUUUUUGUAAUAGACAAUUUUGUUUUUACAGUUUUACAUUUACAGAAUAUUUGAGCAGCUAAUAAAGUUUUCAUCCACACCCCCCCACACAACAUUUCCCCUAUUAAUAUUAUCCUGCAUUUGUGUGGUACCGUUAUUUGUUACAAUUUUUUUUUCGAGAUGGAGUUUUUGCUCUGUUGCCCAGGCUAGAGUGCAAUGGUGCAAUCUUGGCUCACUGCAACCUCCACCUCCUGGAUUCAAGCGAUUCCCCUGCCUCAGCCUCCUGAGCAGUUGGGAUUACAGGUGCCUUCCAGCAUGCCUGGCUACUUUUUGUAUUUUUAGUAGAGAUGAAGUUUCACCAUGUUGGCCAGGCUGGCCUCAAACUCCUGACCUCGGGUGAUCCGCCCUCCUUGGCCUCCCAAAGUGCUGGGAUUACAGGCAUGAGCGACUGCACCCGGCCAGUCUGUACUACUUUGUUAUGACAACUCCGGGAAACUAAUACAACACUCCAAAGAGAAACGUGCAAAUGUGUAGCAGCAGAUGUAUACAAGAAUGUGCUUGAACAGCACAUGCUUGAACAGCAGCUCCGUUCUGAGGAGCAAAAACCUGGAGACAUUUCAAAUGUCCAUUAAUAGAAAAGUGGAUCCAUAAAUAUGAUUUAAUCAGAACAUAAAAGCAGCCCAAAUGGAGACAAUUACAGCAACAUGCAACAAUAUGGAUGAAUACGGGCAAUAAAUAUUCAGCAAAUAAAAUGAAUUUCAAAGAUGAUACACAGUAUGAGGUUAACUUUUUUUCGCAAAGUUAAAAGUUAUCAAUUAGGCAUUGUCUUUCUGGAAUGUAUACACAUAACACAUACUAUACUGCACCACCCUAUACUACCUUACACAACACUACCCUACACUAUUCUACACUACACUACACUACCUUAAACAACACUACCCUACACUAUUCUACACUACACUACACUACCCUACACUAUUCUACACUACACUACACUACCUUAUACAACACUACCCUACACUGUCCUACACCACACUACCCUACACUAUACUACUCUACCCUACCCUACUCUAUACUACACUACACCACACUACCCUACCCUACUCUACUCUACACUGUACUAUACCACACUACUCUACCCUACCCUACUCUACUCUACACUGUACUACACUACAAUACCCUACCCUACCCUAUGCUACCCUACACUACUCUACACUGCACUAUGCUGCCCUACACUAAGCUACACUACAAUACACUACAAUAACCUACCCUACAUUACCCUACAUGACACUACUCUACACUACACUAUACUACUCUAUACUACACUGCACUAUGCCACCCUACACUAAGCUACAUUACAAUACACUACAAUGAUCUACCCUACCCUACACUACCCUACACUACACUACCCUACACUACACUACACUACACUACGCUACACUACGCUACACUACACUACCCUACACUACCCUACCCUACACUACACUACGCUACACUACGCUACCCUUACACUACCCUACCCUACACUACCCUAUACACUACACCACUUCACACCACGCCACACCACACACUCCCCCAUACACCACGCCACACCACACCUCACCCUCACACCACCCCACACUACACUAUGCCACACCACACCAUGCCACACUACACCAUGCUACCCCACACCACUACCACCACACCACCCACACCACACUCUCACACCACGCCACACCGCACCACACCACACUACCUCCACACCACACCACACCACCCCACACCUCACCCUACACUACCCUACCUUACACUACCCUACACUACACUACGCUACACUACACUACCCUACACUACUCUACUCCACGCCACACCACACAACACUACUAUCAAAAGGAGCACAAGGGAAAGAACAAUCCAGGAUCUGGGCAGUCAGGAGGUGGCAGAGAGGCAGCACACAGCGUGGGGAAGACAUGCAAGUAGACGCAGUUAUUGCCAAGUUCUCGUUUUCACGUUAGGUAGUGGGUUCACAGGUGCUCGUUACGUUUUUACAAAGGAACAUAUCUGUAAAAAGGGCCACGCAUGGGCUAAGCAUGAUGAUUUACUGUGAAGCAAGGGUAACGAUGAACCGCCGCACAUGACUCUGGAACCAGGCCGCAAACUUAGGAAACUAGGCCUCAUAAAAAAGAACUUAAAAAAAAAUUAACACCAGGUGGCUCUGGAUAGGGUCCCACCCUGCCUCGAUAGGGUCCCACCCUGAUAGGGUCCCACCCUGCCAAUUCCGGGAAACAACCUCAUGGGGUCCCACCCUGCCUCAAGUCUCCGGAAUCAACAACUCCAGGAAAAAAAACCUCAUAAGGUCCUGCUCUAACCAAUUAGAA
rnacentral:lncRNA from 1 species